UUCUUGGUCCAUUUAGAGGAAGUAAAAGUCGUAACAAGGUUUCCGUAGGUGAACCUGCGGAAGGAUCAUUAAAAGUAUAUAGUUAUACAUUCUGUGUAUCGACUAAAUUUACCCAUUCUGAGUACCUUGCCUGUUGCUUCCAUGGAGCCUGACACUUGUCACUCUGGGGAUUUACAUCCCGAGGGAGCCUCCGUGGAAGGUAAUCAAUUAACUCUUGAAUCCAAUGUCAUCUGUCUGAUAAUGUUUAUAACAAAUGUUAAAACUUUCAACAACGGAUCUCUUGGUUCUCGCAUCGAUGAAGAACGCAGCGAAAUGCGAUAAGUAGUGUGAAUUGCAGAAUUCAGUGAAUCAUCGAAUCUUUGAACGCACAUUGCGCCUCCUGGUAUUCCGGGAGGCAUGCCUGUUCGAGCGUCAUUAAAUACCACUCAAGCUCUUGUGCUUGGUCAUGGAAGAAGAGUAUGCUUGCAUCCUCUCUUCUGAAAUCGAAUGGCGGACUGCCUCAUGUGCCUCGCGUUGUAAGUUCAUCUUUUCGCUUGGAGUGUGAGAUAGUCUCGCCAUCAACCCCCAUACUUCUAAGGUUGACCUCGGAUCAGGUAGGGAUACCCGCUGAACUUAAGCAUAUCAUA
rnacentral:rRNA from 1 species